CUAGUCUUUUAAUUGGAGGCUUGUAUGAAUGGUUGAAUGAGAUAUAUACUGUCUUUUUUAAAAUUAUAUAGAAUUUUAUUUUUUAAUUAAAAAGUUAAAAUAAAAUUAAAGGACGAGAAGACCCUAUAGAUCUUUAUUUUUGUUAUUUAUAAAUUAAAAAGAAUUUUAAAAUUUAUAAUUUAAUAAAAAAUUUUAUUGGGGUGAUAUUAAAAUUUAAAAAACUUUUAAAAUUUAUUAACAUAAAUAUAUGAAUAAAUGAUCCAGUUUUAUUGAUUAAAAAUUUAAGUUACCUU
rnacentral:rRNA from 1 species